rnacentral:rRNA from 1 species
UACGGAGGGGGCAAGCGUUGUUCGGAAUUACUGGGCGUAAAGGGCGCGUAGGCGGUUCGCUAAGUUGAAUGUGAAAACUCUGGGCUUAACCCAGAGCCUGCAUCCAAAACUGGCGAACUGGAGUACUGGAGGGGAAAGCGGAAUUCCUGGUGUAGCGGUGAAAUGCGCAGAUAUCAGGAAGAACACCAAUGGCGAAGGCAGCUCUCUGGGACGGUACUGACGCUGAGACGCGAAAGCGUGGGGAGCGAACAGG